AGCGAGGGUGCCUACAAGAGGAGUCAAAGGGCAAAGGUCCUGGGGUACUUAGCACCGUGGCAUAUCUGUAAUAAGCACAUGCACACCUCGAAGGAGGUCUUCACUUCAACAUACAAGUUGACCAUGGCAUGCUCUGGGCUCCAGUCCUCUACAAAGAUGUAGGGCAGGAACUACCAGUUGUCAGCACAGCACCAUCCCACAUUGCUCUUCUAAUGGAGACUUUCACCCCAGAUGUUCUUUCUCGUCUGAUGGGAAGGAUCCAAAUGAAAAAAUUGAGGCUCAAAGAAGUCCACCAAAUUGAGAGUGAAGUAGGGGAAACAGCAUUUAACGCUUACAUUCUAAUGAUUUGUGUAAGAGCAGCAGGACAAGCUAUACAAAGAAAAAGGUGGAAUUAUCAGGAUGGAAUUAAAGAUGCUUCCAAACAGAGGGGAUAUCUCAAGCCAUGACUCAGAGAGUUCUCCCCACAUUAUUAAUGGUAUGGGAAUUAGGAGAAGGUCAUCUGACUCACAUGGAUCACCAUAUAAUUCCUUCUGGAGAACAGAAAAAAUGCAGAAGAGGAAAACCUCCAUAUGUGAAGCUAUGGCAAGGGAGUCUCCCCACCCCGCGCUCCAACAGAGUCUGGAGAUAAACCCUCAGAGACUCAGGAUUCAUGUGGCUCCAUAAACAUGGCCCAAUCUAUUGUCAAACCAGAAUGGUAGAACUGAAAGCAUCUCCAAUAUAGAAACAUAUGGACUUCCAAACUUGUUCACUUGCUAUGGAAGCAAGAGGUGUUUAACUGAAGAUGCAGAAAAUUUCAAUUGAGGAAUGCUAGUCACAAUUAUACCCACAGCUGAUGAGAAGUAACAUCAGAAAUCUGCCGUCUGUUUCCUCCUUCAAUAUUUAAGAAUUUCACUUUUUAAGUCUUUUUGAUUUGAGAAAUAACAUGUUUAACUAUCGUUAAUAUUUGAAUGUCAUACAGGUGAACACACUGUUAUUUACAACUUGAUUUCACUCUGCCAUCAUUCUACUACCUCCAGACAAUUAGAAGCUAGGAGAAAUGUACAGGAUUAGUGUUCACCAAAACAUUUUAUUGAGACAACCUGCAUUUAAAGAAAAUAUUAUGAAAUUCUCAUUGUGCCAAAAUUUUUAAUAAUAUUGCAUAUUUCAUAAAACAAAACUCUAUAAGAGAAUAAAUAAGAUUUAGGAUUUUUGUGUAUUUUAGGAUAACCAAUGCUAUGAAUUAUCCUGAAUGAAAACCCUGGGAUUAAUCUAUAGCUAUUCCAUGUUUAAUUUGGUUAUUUCGGUAAUAUUUUAAAUAAAUGUCAUAAUGGCAACA
ensembl:lncRNA novel transcript